CGCUCUGCGCAGCCCAACCCUCUCGCCAGGCUCUGCAGAUAAAAACACUUAAAAACCCGGUUAAAUCUCGGUUUGCUGGUGUCGCUACGGCUCCUGCAGCCGCCCCAGGUAAUAGGCACCGCGGUGGGCAGGCGGGGAGGAAGGCAGAGCCGGUGCGCCCCUCGAGGCUAAGGCACUCCCGGCUCCCGGGCCGGCUGCCUGGGCCGCGGUGCGUACCGGGCGCGCUCCGAAGCGGUCCCCGGCCUCGGAGACUUCUGGGCGCCGGGCGCUCAGCCCUCGGCCCCGGGCCCGGGCAGCAGGCGGCGCGGCGCCGGCAUGCUAAGUGGGCCGCACUGGGCGCCUUUGUUCCCCGCGCCUCCGAGGACCGCUUCCCUCUGCAUCCUAAUGGGCUCGUGCCCCCGCCCCCCUCCGCGUCCCGGACCCCGGGGCGCCGCCCGCCCCCGCCCCGCGGGCCCGAGCACCUGCGCCGCCCCCCGCCGCGCCCCCCAGCGGGGGGUCCGGCGGCCCGCGGCGCAAGUCUCGCGGUGCUACGGCCCCGGCGGGGGAGCGGCGGCCCGCGCCCCCCGCCGCGCGACAAAGGCCUGCCCGGGAGGCGGGGGCGGGGCGGGGCGGCGGCGGCGCGGGUGGGGGGGGUGGGGGGGGAGCGGAGGCAGCGCCCGCCCGCGCCGUCCUUUGUGUGGCGGCGGCGGCGGCGCCUGGGCCCGCCCGCCCUCCGGGGCCCGGCUCCGCGCCGCCCUCCGCCCCGCCCGGCCGCCCGGCCUCCCGGCAAGAUGGCAACCCCGGCGGCGGUCAACCCUCCCGAAAUGGCUUCAGACAUCCCUGGAUCGGUGACAUUGCCUGUUGCCCCCAUGGCGGCCACGGGACAGGUGCGGAUGGCGGGAGCCAUGCCCGCCCGUGGAGGAAAGCGGCGUUCUGGGAUGGACUUUGACGACGAAGACGGAGAAGGACCCAGCAAAUUUUCCAGAGAGAACCACAGCGAGAUCGAGCGGCGGCGGAGGAACAAGAUGACCCAGUACAUCACGGAGCUGUCGGACAUGGUGCCCACGUGCAGCGCGCUGGCCCGGAAGCCGGACAAGCUGACCAUCCUCCGCAUGGCCGUGUCGCACAUGAAGUCCAUGAGGGGCACAGGGAACAAGUCCACAGACGGCGCCUACAAGCCGUCGUUCCUGACGGAGCAGGAGCUGAAGCACCUCAUCCUGGAAGCAGCCGAUGGCUUUCUGUUUGUAGUGGCGGCAGAGACGGGACGGGUCAUUUACGUGUCUGACUCCGUCACCCCCGUGCUGAACCAGCCCCAGUCAGAGUGGUUUGGGAGCACCCUGUACGAGCAGGUGCACCCCGACGAUGUGGAGAAGCUGAGAGAGCAGCUGUGCACCUCCGAAAACUCCAUGACAGGCCGGAUCCUGGACCUGAAGACGGGGACGGUGAAGAAAGAGGGACAGCAGUCCUCCAUGAGGAUGUGCAUGGGCUCGCGGAGGUCCUUCAUUUGCAGGAUGAGGUGUGGGAACGCUCCUUUGGACCACCUGCCGCUGAACAGAAUAACCACCAUGAGGAAAAGGUUCAGGAACGGCCUUGGCCCCGUGAAAGACGGGGAGGCCCAGUACGCCGUGGUGCACUGCACGGGUUACAUCAAGGCGUGGCCCCCCGCAGGGAUGACUAUACCCGAGGAGGACGCGGACGUGGGGCAGGGCAGCAAGUUCUGCCUCGUGGCCAUCGGAAGACUCCAGGUGACGAGCUCUCCCGUGUGCAUGGACAUGAGCGGGGUGUCGGUGCCCACGGAGUUCUUAUCCCGACACAGCUCUGAUGGCGUCAUCACGUUCGUGGACCCCCGGUGCAUCAGCGUGGUUGGCUACCAACCCCAGGAUCUCCUCGGAAAGGACAUUUUGGAAUUCUGCCACUCGGAGGAUCAGAGCCACCUGCGCGAGAGCUUCCAGCAGGUGGUCAAACUGAAGGGCCAGGUACUGUCGGUCAUGUACCGGCUCCGCACCAAGAACCGGGAGUGGCUGUUGAUCCGCACCAGCAGCUUUACGUUCCAGAACCCCUACUCCGACGAGAUAGAGUACGUCAUCUGCACCAACACCAACGUCAAGCAGCUCCAGCAGCAGCAGGCAGAGUUGGAGGUGCACCAGAGAGAUGGGCUGUCGUCAUACGACCUGUCGCAGGUUCCUGUCCCCAACCUCCCGGCCGGCGUUCACGAGGCGGGGAAGUCCGUGGAGAAGGCCAAUGUCAUCUUCUCCCAGGAGAGAGACCCCCGGUUUGCUGAGAUGUUUGCGGGAGUCAGUGCGUCGGAGAAGAAGAUGAUGACCUCAGCCUCUGCGGCGGGAACCCAGCAGAUCUACUCCCAGGGAAGCCCGUUCCCCCCCGGACACUCGGGGAAGGCCUUCAGCUCUUCCGUGGUCCACGUGCCUGGUGUGAAUGACAUCCAGUCCUCCUCGUCAACGGGCCAGAACAUGUCCCAAAUCUCCCGACAGCUGAACCAGAGCCAGGUGGCGUGGACAGGGAGCCGGCCGCCCUUUCCCGGACAGCAAAUCCCUUCCCAGUCCGGCAAGACUCAGUCGUCUCCCUUUGGGAUUGGAACGAGCCACACGUACCCAGCAGACCCCUCUUCCUACAGCCCUCUCUCCAGCCCAGCUACGUCCUCGCCCAGCGGGAACGCCUACUCCGGUCUCGCCAGCAGGACUCCGGGGUUCGCUGAGAGCGGACAGAGCGGCGGGCAGUUCCAAGGGCGGCCCUCGGAGGUCUGGUCCCAGUGGCAGAGCCAGCACCACGGGCAGCAGAGCGGUGAGCAGCACCCCCACCAGCAGCCCGGUCAGACUGAAGUGUUCCAGGUCUCCAGAGGGGCAGCGUUCCGACCUCCUUCCUCCGUCCUUACGCCGCACGGCAGCCGCGUGGCGCAGAACUCCCCAACCCGGCUCUCCGUGGUCACGAGGCUAAAAAGAAUUCUUGGUCGAAUAAGCACGUGAAACGCUGGUUAAGCAAAGUUGUGCGGUUUCUUGACCGCAGGACUUAUCAGAGGCUUUUAUUAUUUUAAUGAAGACUGAGGCUAUUUUAGGCGGUAGGCGGAGUGCGUAUGCCUUGUUCCCCACGACCGCUCGUCCACACGGUCCUUUUCUCCCAGAGUGUCUCACGGGCCAAGAAUUUGAGAGAACAUGCCUUGGGAAAUUUUCCACAGGGGAUUGAAAUACUGGCUGUGCCCAUUGUCUGGAUGGGCACUCUGAGGCCGGCCGAACUUGAAGGGCCUGUUACAAGUGAAGCUUCAGGACGCAGGCAUUUGGCCCCGCCCCCGGAACACGCACAGCCUUGCUCCGGGCCCUGAUAGGUUCACCCCACCGAUGGGCUCCUGUGCGCCCUGUGUCCUGGCUUUACAUAAACGUGGGUUAUGUCCUGAGGCUCGGUGUACCUGCUGGGAUGACCCCGCCCCCCCCAGGGGGUAGCGGCUUCCGGGUGUGGACAUCUGAGGCCCCCCUGAGGCCCCUGGGCUGCCCCAAGGAAGGACAUGCUGCCCAUGCCCGGAGACCCGACCCAGGGGACCGGCAACUAUAACAUCGAGGACUUCGCGGACCUGGGCAUGUUCCCGCCCUUCUCCGAGUAGCGGCGGGCAGAGUGCGGCUGGCGCUGGGCGGCGUGGCUCCUGUCGUGACCGCGCCAUCCACGCGGGCGGGCCCCCCCCCCCCCCCCCGCACCCUGCUUGCCCCGCCCGCCCCGCCACGGUCCCUCCCAGCAGAAAGCGUCUCACCCCCGUGCUCCUCCCCUGCACAGCGCCUCUCCGCUCUGGCCCCCAGCCCGGGGCCACCGACCAGGAGCCCCGGUAGCCGUCGGGGGGCCGGUUGUAUUUAUUGUACUUUAUCUGUGUGUGCUUGGGAGGCGAGCCGACUGGGCUCCGGGAGUCUGGUUGUGAAUAAUCUCCUAGUAGACGGUUUUCGCCUAUAAAACGUUCACCUGUAGUCCAGA